GAUGAACGCUGGCGGCGUGCCUAAUACAUGCAAGUCGAGCGAAUGGAUUGAGAGCUUGCUCUUAUGAAGUUAGCGGCGGACGGGUGAGUAACACGUGGGUAACCUGCCCAUAAGACUGGGAUAACUCCGGGAAACCGGGGCUAAUACCGGAUAACAUUUUGAACCGCAUGGUUCGAAAUUGAAAGGCGGCUUCGGCUGUCACUUAUGGAUGGACCCGCGUCGCAUUAGCUAGUUGGUGAGGUAACGGCUCACCCAGGCAACGAUGCGUAGCCGCCCGGAGAGGGUGCUGGGCCACACUGGGACUGAGACACGGCCCAGACUCUUACGGGAGGCAGCAGUAGGAAAUCUUCCGCAAUGGACGAAAGUCUGACGGAGCAACGCCGCGUGAGUGAUGAAGGCUUUCGGGUCGUAAAACUCUGUUGUUAGGGAAGAACAAGUGCUAGUUGAAUAAGCUGGCACCUUGACGGUACCUAACCAGAAAGCCACGGCUAACUACGUGCCAGCCGCCGCCGUAA
rnacentral:rRNA from 1 species